UACGGAGGAUGCGAGCGUUAUCCGGAUUUAUUGGGUUUAAAGGGUGCGCAGGCGGAUUUUUAAGUCAGCGGUCAAAUCGUGGGGCUCAACCCCAUCCAGCCGUUGAAACUGGCGGUCUUGAGUGGGCGAGAAGUAUGCGGAAUGCGUGGUGUAGCGGUGAAAUGCAUAGAUAUCACGCAGAACUCCGAUUGCGAAGGCAGCAUACCGGCCCCCACACUGACGCUGAGGCACGAAAGCGUGGGUAGUCGAACAGGA
rnacentral:rRNA from 1 species